AGUGAACGCUGGCGGUAGGCCUAACACAUGCAAGUCGAACGGCAGCACAGUAAGAGCUUGCUCUUACGGGUGGCGAGUGGCGGACGGGUGAGGAAUACAUCGGAGUCUACUUUUUCGUGGGGGAUAACGUAGGGAAACUUACGCUAAUACCGCAUACGACCUACGGGUGAAAGCAGGGGAUCUUCGGACCUUGCGCGAUUGAAUGAGCCGAUGUCGGAUUAGCUAGUUGGCGGGGUAAAGGCCCACCAAGGCGACGAUCCGUAGCUGGUCUGAGAGGAUGAUCAGCCACACUGGAACUGAGACACGGUCCAGACUCCUACGGGAGGCAGCAGUGGGGAAUAUUGGACAAUGGGCGCAAGCCUGAUCCAGCCAUACCGCGUGGGUGAAGAAGGCCUUCGGGUUGUAAAGCCCUUUUGUUGGGAAAGAAAGGCAGCAGGUUAAUACCCCGCUGUUCUGACGGUACCCAAAGAAUAAGCACCGGCUAACUUCGUG
rnacentral:rRNA from 1 species